GUUGUACUUUUGCAGCCAAAAGCUGAUCCAAGCCAAAAAUCUCAUACUAUGCUUUUCGAAUGUAUUUUUAAGUUACCAUUGCCCUGGAGAUAGCCAUUCUUUGUUGUUAUUUUCGAACACACAUGGUGAUCUCAGCUCUUGGCUCAAAGGUUUCUGCAUGCUUUUGUAAGCUCGUACACAAAGGCUUUUCUGCUUUAAAAUAGAUGCCCAAGGGACUGUGUCAUUGUCUCUGGAGGCUGGGCUAGAGAAAACCAGAUGCCUGCAGUGAGACUGACAUCCUGGCGAUGUGUGAAAUCUGGGUCCUCGCUCUUCUGGGAGGCUCUGGGGAGUGUUUCCUCACGAGCCACAGACCCUCUGGCCAGCUGCAGGAACAGGAAGGCAGCGCUGCAGUGUAUCAUAUCUGGAGAUUUUCCCAAAGAACAAGAAAGGCCAGAAAAGACAUCUCUAAGGUCAUGCCUAGUGAGGGGAAUAUAAAUACAUCCUUCAAGCUCAAGAUUAUCAGCAAGCCAAACAGCAGGGAAGGGCAAAGAAAAGAUAUGGUCUGCUUCAGUAUCAGGAAGAAACCAAGCUCACUUUCUCCCCUGAGAAGAUCUCAUGCAAUUCCUGAAUUCUGGUAUCACAAUUACUUAAAUCAUCACGGUGAAAAAAGAAUAAGAAUAACAAACAAGCUGUCAUCAUCUGUGUUUCAAAUCACUUAAUGUCCAUGCAUUAAUAACACACAUCAACCGGAUGCAGCCAAGGUCAGUAAAGAAAUCAGUCUGAGCUAAAUUCCUGUUGUGCUUUCAGCUUAGAGUCUGGUUCCUAAAUGCUGUCUGCAACACACAGGGACCCAAAACUUUGCUUCCAAAUGCAGCUUGAGAGUAGAUAUUCCAAACAGCUCUGGCUGGCAUAAUUCUUUUUUGCCACAGUACAAAACCUCAGUCCAGAGAGUACUGUGUAUACUGCACUAAGCCACUGCUGUGUUUGACCUAUUAAGUAAAAAACAUCACUCUGAAUCCAGAGUCUUGAGUGUUGUCUUCUCAACUGCACAGCCCAGGGCACAUACUGGGGUCACAUAUUCCUUCAGACUUUUUCUAUACAUUCAUUGUGAUAUCUUUUUGCUCUGUGGGGGCGGUGUGGGUGAGGCAGGUGGAGGCUUACUCCAAUAUGGGGGUACAGUGCUGCACCUGACAAGCAACAUGAAGCAUGCAUAGAUGUCCAGCAAACAGAAAGAGUGAAAGUAACACAGCUCAAAUCCAUCCUGGCUGUGAUCUGCAGUGACAGCUUUCUGUUAUGGAUUUGCAAUAAAUCAUUGCUGUUCCUGAUUUAUUAGUACA
ensembl:lncRNA